AACGAACGCUGGCGGCAUGCUUAACACAUGCAAGUUGAACGCGGAAUAGGGCUUCGGCUCUAUUGCUGAGUAGCAAACGGGUGAGUAACGCGUGGGAAUCUACCUUCUUGUGGGGGAUAACUAAGGGAAACUUUAGCUAAUACCGCAUACGCUCUACGGAGGAAAGGCUUCGGCCGCAAGAAGAGGAGCCCGCGUCAGAUUAGGUAGUUGGUGGGGUAAAAGCCUACCAAGCCAAUGAUCUGUAGCUGGUCUGAGAGGAUGAUCAGCCACACUGGGACUGAGACACGGCCCAGACUCCUACGGGAGGCAGCAGUGGGGAAUAUUGGACAAUGGGGGAAACCCUGAUCCAGCAAUGCCGCGUGAAUGAAGAAGGCCUUAGGGUUGUAAAGUUCUUUCACCUGUGAAGAUAAUGACGGUAGCAGGAGAAGAAGCCCCGGCUAACUCCGUGCCAGCCGCCGCGGUAA
rnacentral:rRNA from 1 species